CUCAAGGAAGAUAAUGACGGUACUUGAGGAGGAAGCCCCGGCUAACUACGUGCCAGCAGCCGCGGUAAUACGGAGGGUGCUAGCGUUAUCCGGAUUUACUGGGCGUAAAGGGUGCGUAGGCGGUCUUGCAAGUCAGGAGUGAAAGGCUACGGCUCAACCGUAGUAAGCUCUUGAAACUGGGAGACUUGAGUGCAGGAGAGGAGAGUGGAAUUCCUAGUGUAGCGGUGAAAUGCGUAGAUAUUAGGAGGAACACCAGUUGCGAAGGCGGCUCUCUGGACUGUAACUGACGCUGAGGCACGAAAGCGUGGGGAGCAAACAGGAUUAGAUACCCUGGUAGUCCACGCUGUAAACGAUGAGUACUAGGUGUCGGGGGUUACCCCCCUCGGUGCCGCAGCUAACGCAUUAAG
rnacentral:rRNA from 1 species